UUAUGGCCAUAUCACCCUGAACACACCUCAUCUCACCGGAUCUCAGAAGCUAAGCAGGUUUACGCAAGGCUAGUGCUUGGAUGGGAGAAAAGACCGUGAGGCUGGCUAAG
ensembl:rRNA predicted gene, 26486